rnacentral:rRNA from 1 species
GAUGAACGCUGGCGGCGUGCCUAAUACAUGCAAGUCGAGCGAACAGAUAAGGAGCUUGCUCCUUUGACGUUAGCGGCGGACGGGUGAGUAACACGUGGAUAACCUACCUAUAAGACUGGGAUAACUUCGGGAAACCGGAGCUAAUACCGGAUAACAUAUUGAACCGCAUGGUUCAAUAGUGAAAGGCGGCUUUGCUGUCACUUAUAGAUGGAUCCGCGCCGUAUUAGCUAGUUGGUAAGGUAACGGCUUACCAAGGCAACGAUACGUAGCCGACCUGAGAGGGUGAUCGGCCACACUGGAACUGAGACACGGUCCAGACUCCUACGGGAGGCAGCAGUAGGGAAUCUUCCGCAAUGGGCGAAAGCCUGACGGAGCAACGCCGCGUGAGUGAUGAAGGUCUUCGGAUCGUAAAACUCUGUUAUCAGGGAAGAACAAAUGUGUAAGUAACUGUGCACAUCUUGACGGUACCUGAUCAGAAAGCCAUGGCUAACUACGUG